rnacentral:rRNA from 1 species
AGUUAGCCGAUGCUUAUUCUUCAGGUACACGUCAUUUAUUCCUCCCUGAAAAAAAGAGGUUUACAACCCAUAGGCCGUCAUCCCUCACGCGGUAUUGCUCCGUCAGGCUUUCGCCCAUUGCGGAAAAUUCCCC